rnacentral:lncRNA from 1 species
CUUUACUCCUUUUCCUCCAGGUCCUCAUAGAUAAUUUAUUGAGCAAUCUGAUAACUAAAUUUGAGUUAUGAAACUAAUGCUUAAGAGUAUUUUCUAUUUCAUUUCUUCCAGAUAUGUUGUUCUGGAGCUAUGUAAGUCCAAGAUCAAGGCAUCAACAAGUUCCAUGGCUGGCGAGGGCUGCCCUCUGCUUCCAAGAUGGUGCAUCAUUGCUGUGUCCUCACAUAGUGGAAGGACCAAAGAGGCAUGAGGAAGAAAUGGUGUUACCAGCAUUCACUGAGGAUUAGAAUUGCAAAAAUGUUGCUUUCUAGUGGGAAAAAGGAAAAAAAGUUAUUACCAAGGACAAGGUAAUGUACAACUUCCUCUCCUCCCACCUUCCUAUCUCAGUGCACUAGGACCACUGUCUGGUUAGAAGCAGAAGCCAGCUGGCAAAGAAAUUACAGUGAGGCAGUUUGCAGAAAUUAGCUUUCUAAGGCCCAGAUGGAGCGUAGCAUGGUGGAGCAUAGACUAAGGGAACAAUGAAAGACCAUGGAUGCUUUGAUAUUCUCUAGUGUCAUGUUCAUAGUCAAGUCCCAGUAAAUAAUACCCAGACACAAGUGAUUCCUCCCAGUUUCAAUAUCCUCCUUCCAUGCUGGUAGCCUAUCUACAGUCAACACCACCAGCUUCUAAACUAUGCUUUAUGUCACCAAGAUUUUUACAGUCAUUAACCUACAUGGUGUCUCCUUAGCACUUUGCUUCUAAUUAAAAUAUAUAUACUGAUAUAUGUUGUAUAUAUAUUCAGUUGCAAAAGUGUUUACAAAUUAUUAAAGUUACAUGCAUGAUCCAAACUCUUCUGCAAAAUAAGCCAAAACUCUUGUUUGUUUUCAAGAUCUGGACAGAAUUCCUUGAUUUGACUACAUCCCACAAGAAUGCUUUCAUUCCUGCUUUUUACUGGAAACUUUUAAACUGUUGACACCACGGAUUUUAAAAAAUAAACAGAUGGGCAUAGCUUCAUGACUUCAUUUUAUAUUGUAAAUAUAAAUAUUCAGAGAGAUAAAAGACAAUGUCUCUAUUUUUAAUGUUUGUAAAUUUAAAAAUUUGCCGACAUCAUUUUAUCCAUAUAUACUUUGCUUGGCUUUUGUCCCUUAAUAGAUCUAUAACUGUGUUGGGAAGUUGUUUAAUCAUAAGUCAUUCUAGGUAAGUUAGAGUUUUAAAAAAAUAAAAAUGAAAGAAUUAAAAAAAAAAUAACCCUGAUGUCAAGAUAAGUAAAAAUGUGAGAUUAGCAAAACUGAUUACAGUCACGGUAGAAAGAACAUAAAUCCUUUUCAAUAAUUUUUUUCUUUAUUAAAAAAAACCCCUUUUCUCACUUUACAGGGGAAAAAAAGGGUAUUUGGCAUACAGUAGUACUGGACGUUAUCCAGAGAAGAGUUUUUUUCAGAACUUGGUCCCUUUUCUAAUCUGAACAAGUUCAAGCUACAGCAAAAUUACAGUUUCCCAGUCUCCUUUUAAUUUCCAAUUUUUGUUAAAAAGGAACCUCAGAAGAUAUUGACUUCGUACUACUAAAUUUGAGACAGGGCAGGUUAGAAAUGUUUGCAAUUUAACUAAUAUCAGUAACCUAAUGGUGAUGAACAAAAUUUAUAUGUAGAUGGAAAAAUUUAAGCUAGUAAACACUAUUUUGUCGUUUUUAAUUGAGAUGGAUUUUUACAUUUUUUUUUGUUCUAAAUGGAUAUUUUACCAUCACAAAACGGAUGGUAAUUAUAAAUUACAUUUUGCCCAACAUGGAAUCAGAAAAAAGAAAAGACUUUUCAUGAUGCAUCAAUAAAUAAUGAUUACAUAUCAGCUGAGCACAAAAUCAUGGGUCAAAAUUAAUAAAUACAAAUAAUUUAUGUUUUCAUUUUCUGUG